rnacentral:rRNA from 1 species
UACGUAGGGUGCGAGCGUUAAUCGGAAUUACUGGGCGUAAAGCGCACGUAGGCGGAUCGAUCAGUCAGGGGUGAAAUCCCAGGGCUCAACCCUGGAACUGCCUUUGAUACUGUCGAUCUGGAGUAUGGAAGAGGUGAGUGGAAUUCCGAGUGUAGAGGUGGAAUGCGUAGAGAUCCGGAAGAACACCGGUGGCGAAGGCGGCCUGCUGGGCAGUUGCUGACACUGAGGCGCGACAGCGUGGGGAGCAAACAGG